rnacentral:lncRNA from 10 species
AAAAGAAUCUGAUGCUCAGCUGUACAAAGUGCAGUUAGUGAACAGCCUCCAUCGGCAGUGCCUUCAGAUUGCAUCCUGGGCAUUGGAACUGAUUCCACGCUCUGCUGCAGCUCCCAGGCAAUGACUGAGCUUGGUGGGGGCACUAGGGUGUGUCCAUUUCUGCCCAAUGUGGAACUCUUCUAGUGACCAUCUGUGUUCUAGGGUUUCCAUUGGGUUGAGCUGAGGUUUUCCUGGCCCCAUUUUGUUUCCUCUUCCCUUGCAUUUCAGAUAUCAGACAUUCAUCACAGUCUGAAGACUUUCUAUGCCCCAUGCUACUCUCUCCCCUUUUAUCUUUCACAGACUUCACUUCCCAAUAAAUCUCUUACACUCCUAUCUCCACCCCCUGAGUCUGUUUCCCAGAGAAUCUGUACUAACACACCUACACAAUGCCUCGGGCAGAUAUAUUAUCUUCCUUAAGGCAUGAUGGAGAGAUUUCAUUAACUUGAAUGCACAGUGUCUCCUACCACAACUGUAGCCUUGUUGAAAUGCCCCCCGAAGAAAGCCAUUGGAUCCUCAUGUUGUUCAUGCAAAAAUGCCAUCUCAUGGGGGUGGCUAGACCAGAGAAUGGGGUAUUCUAAGUCAGCAUGCCCGACACUGGCUCUUUGCAAGCUUGGAUCACAGCCUGAAAGAAACCUGAGCACUCCUCCAUGGGUAGGGAGGAACACUGAACACAUUUGGAGUUGAUAAGGGAAACAACUGCAUUUGAAUGAGGUUUAAGAGGGUUCUUGGAUGAGACCCUUAAGAAGUCUAGUGCUUUUCUUUCACUUUGGCAUUUUACAUUUUUUGGCACAAGAUAUG